rnacentral:tRNA from 1 species
UCUAAUAUGGCAGAUUAG